AGGACGAACGCUGGCGGCGUGCCUAACACAUGCAAGUCGAACGAGGUCCAACCGGUGGCAACACUGGUGAAGACCGAGUGGCGAACGGGUGAGUAACACGUGAGCAACCUGCCUCGAAGACUGGGAUAACCCCGGGAAACCGGAGCUAAUACCGGAUACCCCCACCGGGUCGCAUGGCCUGGUGAGGAAAUGGAUUCCGCUUUGAGAGGGGCUCGCGGCCUAUCAGCUUGAUGGUGGGGUAAUGGCCUACCAUGGCACCGACGGGUAGCUGGUCUGAGAGGACGAUCAGCCACACUGGGACUGAGACACGGCCCAGACUCCUACGGGAGGCAGCAGUGGGGAAUCUUGCGCAAUGGGCGAAAGCCUGACGCAGCAACGCCGCGUGUGGGACGAAGGCCUUCUGGGUUGUAAACCACUUUCAGCAGGGACGAUUGUGACGGUACCUGCAGAGAAGCCCGGCCAACUACGUGCCAGCAGCCGCGGU
rnacentral:rRNA from 1 species